rnacentral:rRNA from 1 species
GACGAACGCUGGCGGCGUGCUUAACACAUGCAAGUCGAACGGAAAGGCCCUGCUUUUGUGGGGUGCUCGAGUGGCGAACGGGUGAGUAACACGUGAGUAACCUGCCCUUGACUUUGGGAUAACUUCAGGAAACUGGGGCUAAUACCGGAUAGGAGCUCCUGCUGCAUGGUGGGGGUUGGAAAGUUUCGGCGGUUGGGGAUGGACUCGCGGCUUAUCAGCUUGUUGGGGGGGUAGUGGCUUACCAAGGCUUUGACGGGUAGCCGGCCUGAGAGGGUGACCGGCCACAUUGGUACUGAGAUACGGCCCAGACUCCUACGGGAGGCAGCAGUGGGGAAUAUUGCACAAUGGGCGGAAGCCUGAUGCAGCAACGCCGCGUGCGUGAUGACGGCCUUCGGGUUGUAAACCGCUUUCGCCUGUGACGAAGCGUGAGUGACGGUAAUGGGUAAAGAAGCACCGGCUAACUACGUG